rnacentral:rRNA from 1 species
UACAGAGGUCCCAAGCGUUGUUCGGAUUUACUGGGCGUAAAGGGCGCGUAGGCGGGCUGGCAAGUCGGUCGUGAAAUCCUUCGGCUCAACCGAAGAACGUCGAUCGAUACUGCUGUUCUUGAGGGUUGCAGAGGAGACUGGAAUUCCCGGUGUAGCGGUGAAAUGUGUAGAGAUCGGGAGGAACACCGGUGGCGAAGGCGGGUCUCUGGGCAAUUCCUGACGCUGAGGCGCGAAAGCGUGGGGAGCAAACGGG